GAUUUUGGACCUGGCUCAGAACGAACGCUGGCGGCAGGCUUAACACAUGCAAGUCGAACGAACUCUUCGGAGUUAGUGGCAGACGGGUGAGUAACGCGUGGGAACCUACCUUUAGGUACGGAACAACAGUUGGAAACGACUGCUAAUACCGUAUGUGCCCUAUGGGGGAAAGAUUUAUCGCCUAAGGAUGGGCCCGCGUUGGAUUAGCUAGUUGGUGGGGUAACGGCCUACCAAGGCGACGAUCCAUAGCUGGUCUGAGAGGAUGAUCAGCCACACUGGGACUGAGACACGGCCCAGACUCCUACGGGAGGCAGCAGUGGGGAAUAUUGGACAAUGGGGGCAACCCUGAUCCAGCCAUGCCGCGUGAGUGAUGAAGGCCCUAGGGUUGUAAAGCUCUUCAGCGAGGAGGAUAAUGACGUACUCGCAGAAGAA
rnacentral:rRNA from 1 species